AAUCUACUCCCUCUAUCCGAAAAUACUUGUCAUAGAAAUGGAUGUAUCUAGAUGUAUUUUAGUUUCACAUACAUCCAUUUUUAUAUAUUUGUGCGACAAGUAAUUCCGGAUGGAGGGAGUAUAUA
rfam:Hordeum vulgare subsp. vulgare, WGS project CAJW01000000 data, contig: morex_contig_137702